CUUUUCAGUGCAGUUUAAAAGUAAAGAUGCAGAUGUUAAUAUUUUUGCUAGUAUCAUCUCUUAUAUAUUCUACUUCAGGGGAGAUAAAGCCUAACCUUAAAUUGAAAAAUAAGCUGCCUCAUGCUCAAUAUGUUAUCAAUGUAGAAAGAUUGAAAUAUCUAGAAAAGACAAAACUAUGGACAAAGUAUACAAAACAGAAAAGGACCGGAAAGGAAAUGAAAAAUACCCACACAAGGAAAGAAUGGAAAGCAAGAGAAAGUGUAAAUUUUUCAACAGAUUUUACGCUUAAUUGUUCUUAAUGUCACAUAAUAUAAUCUUUAGAAUAUAUUCCUGUGAUGAGGA